rnacentral:lncRNA from 1 species
AACGAAGAACGAAGAACACUUUCUUCAAGGGCCGUCGGGGCUUGAUCUUGAAUUGGUGGAUGGUUGAUCCAAGGGCCGUCGGGGCUUGAUCUUGGAAAAACGAUGAACGAAGAACGAAGAACACUUUCUUCAAGGGCCGUCGGGGCUUGAUCUUGAAUUGGUGGAUGAUUGUUGAUCCAAAGGGCCGUUGGGGCUUGAUCUUGGAAGAACGAUGAACGAAGAACGAAGAACGCUUUCUU